GGACCUCCCUCUGUAUCACCACGUCACUGAGGAGGACCUCCCUCUGUAUCACCACGUCACUGAGGAGGACCUCCCUCUGUAUCACCACAUCACUGAGGAGGACCUCCCUCUGUGUCACCACAUCACUGAGGAGGACCUCCCUCUGUAUCACCACAUCACUGAGGAGGACCUCCCUCUGUAUCACCACGUCACUGAGGAGGACCUCCCUCUGUGUCACCACAUCACUGAUGAGGACCUCCCUCUGUAUCACCACAUCACUGAGGAGGACCUCCCUCUGUGUCACCACGUCGUUGAGGAGGACCUCCCUCUGUAUCACCACAUCACUGAGGAGGACCUCCCUCUGUAUCACCACGUCGUUGAGGAGGACCUCCCUCUGUAUCACCACGUCACUGAGGAGGACCUCCCUCUGUGUCACCACAUCGUUGAGGAGGACCUCCCUCUGUGUCACCACAUCACUGAGGAGGACCUCCCUCUGUAUCACCACAUCACUGAGGAGGACCUCCCUCUGUAUCACCACGUCACUGAGGAGGACCUCCCUCUGUAUCACCACGUCGUUGAGGAGGACCUCCCUCUGUAUCACCACGUCACUGAGGAGGACCUCCCUCUGUAUCACCACGUCACUGAGGAGGACCUCCCUCUGUAUCACCACGUCGUUGAGGAGGACCUCCCUCUGUAUCACCACAUCACUGAUGAGGACCUCCCUCUGUAUCACCACAUCACUGAUGAGGACCUCCCUCUGUGUCACCACAUCACUGAUGAGGACCUCCCUCUGUAUCACCACGUCACUGAUGAGGUUUUAAUACACUGAUGAGGUUUUAAUUCACGGAUUAUGUUUUAAUACACUGAUGAGGUAAUGAUACACGGAUGAGGUUUUAAUACACUGAUGAGGUAAUGAUACACGGAUGAGGUUUUAAUACACUGAUGAGGUAAUGAUACACGGAUUAUGUUUUAAUACACUGAUGAGAUAAUGAUACACUGAUGAAGUUUUGAUACACUGAUGAGGUUUUGGUACACUGAUGAGGUUUUGGUACACUGAUGAGGUUUUAGUACACUGAUGAGGUAAUUAUACACGGGUGAGGUAAUGAUACACUGAUGAGGUAAUGAUUCAUGGAUGAGGUAAUGAUACACUGAUGAGGUUUUAAUACACUGAUGAGGUAAUGAUACACAUAUGAGGUUUUAAUACACUGAUGAGGUAAUGAUACACGGUGAGGUAAUGAUACACAGAUGAGGUAAUGAUACACGGAUGAGGUAAUGAUACACUGAUGAGGUUUUAAUACACUGAUGAGGUAAUGAUACACGGAUGAGGUUUUAAUACACUGAUGAGGUAAUGAUACACUGAUGAGGUAAUGAUACACGGAUUAGGUUUUAAUACACUGAUGAGGUUUUAGUACACUGAUAAGGUUUUAAUUCACUGAUGAGGUUUUAAUUCACUGAUGAGGUUUUAAUUCACUGAUGAGGUUUUGUUACACUGAUGAGGUUUUAAUUCACUGAUGAGGUAAUGAUACACGGAUGAGGUAAUGAUACACGGAUGAGGUAUUGAUACACAGAUGAGGUUUUAAUACACUGAUGAGGUAAUGAUACACGGAUGAGGUAAUGAUACACGGAUGAGGUAAUGAUACACGGAUGAGGUAUUGAUACACAGAUGAGGUUCUAAUACACUGAUGAGGUAAUGAUACACGGAUUAGGUAAUGAUACACGGAUGAGGUAAUGAUACACGGAUGAGGUAUUGAUACACGGAUGAGGUUUUAAUACACUGAUGAGGUAAUGAUACACGGAUGAGGUUUUAAUACACUGAUGAGGUAUUGAUACACAGAUGAGGUUUUAAUGCACUGAUGAGGUAAUGAUACACGGAUGAGGUAAUGAUACACGGAUGAGGUAAUGAUACACGGAUGAGGUAUUUGAUGUGGACGGAUACAGACGUUUCCUCAGUGUUGGUUACAGUUUGUCCAUUUCCUCUCCAACGAGGACAUUGUUUUUGUUGUUUAAUUAUGUCUUGUCUCGGAAACCUGCUUUUCCUGGUACUUUUCAAAUGAACAGAUAACAUCUUGUGAUGAUUUUCAAGUUCUCAUGUGUUUGUAAUAACGGUCUUUAGUGUGGAGACGGCCAAAUCAUUCAGUUGAUUUCCUUAAUUGAGUCUGUUUUGUGAGUUUAACCUUGCAAGACAUGACAAGUGUCACCGUGUGUUUGGCUGGGAGCCGUUAUGAUUUAGCUGCUGUUCAUGUGGUUGAAUCUGUGAUUGCUUAGUUUAUAGUUUAGAACAAUGACAUUUAUUUGUUGAAUCACGUCGAGUUAAUUUGAUGUUUCAUCUGUGUACGUUUUUAUGAUUCAAAAGCAUAUGGACAGCGGUGUUUCUUCCACAUUUUUGUUGUUGAGAACUUAAAUACUGUGACUUGACUUCAGGUACCCAGAAUGAUCAAUAACGGCAGUACAAAUGGAAUAACCAACUGUAGCUUUGGUAGUUUCACAGGUCCUUUAAAGUGCUGUUAGCUUCAAGUAAGAUGUACAUCAAUCAUUGAUCAUGUUUUUCAAUCACUUCACCGUGAGGACUUCUUUCUAUUUAAAUCUGAACCUGCAGUGCUGACAUCUUUGUCCUGGGGAAUAUGGUAGUCCUGUAUGAGACUUUAACAACACUGACCAUCCAGUCUGUCAAUACAAUCAUCACAGUCUGUAGCCUAAGGUGUAAAAGGCCCAGCCUCGGUCUUACACAGUAGCUGAAUGUUUAUUCUGUUUUUACUCAAAAAAACACUGACACAUAUAUUUACUGUUCUGUUUUUUUAAAUGCUGUUUGACUGAUUCCAUGUCAACUUUACUACACCAGAAAUAAUAAAGUGUAUUUUGAUUCCUUU